CCUCCGGGGAGGGCGCCACCCGGCGGCCCGGUCCCCUGGGCCCUGGGCGGGGCGCGUACCUGCAGAGGAUUGGGUGGCGUGAGCGGCGACGGGAGGCCGUGUCCCGGAGACUGGCUGGCUUUCUGAGGGGAGCUGGAGCUCUGCUGAGUUGGAGACGUUUUGCAGAAUCAAAAGCUUGAGUCUGAACUUUUUGCCUGCUCAUCAGAGAGACACAGCCCCACACCGGAAGGGUUAUAGUCAGCGACUGUGCACUGUGGUGACUGGUCACACUGGCACCUCAAGGACAAGCCAGGAACCGAGAGGAUGAAGUCAUCUUUCCAGAUUUUUCCUUGUUCUGUGAAAA